rnacentral:sRNA from 1 species
AUUUGCAGAUGAUGAAUAUCGCACACAAGAAGCUCAUGGUGUUUGGCAUGA